rnacentral:tRNA from 1 species
AAUCAAUGAACUUGUAUAAGUAUAUGCCUUGAAAGCAUAAAAAAGAAAUAAUAAUUUUCUAUUGAUUU